GUACAGAGGUCUCAAGCGUUGUUCGGAUUCAUUGGGCGUAAAGGGUGCGUAGGUGGCGCGGUAAGUCGGGUGUGAAAUUUCGGGAGCUUAACUCCGAAACUGCAUUCGAUACUGCCGUGCUUGAGGACUGGAGAGGAGACUGGAAUUUACGGUGUAGCGGUGAAAUGCGUAGAGUAUCAGGAGGAACACCGGUGGCGAAGGCGGGUCUCUGGGCCGAUGACUGACGUGGAGGAGCGAAAGCGUGGGGAGCAAACAGG
rnacentral:rRNA from 1 species